rnacentral:rRNA from 1 species
CCUACGGGGUGCAGCAGUGGGGAAUAUUGGACAAUGGGCGAAAGCCUGAUCCAGCAAUGCCGCGUGUGUGAAGAAGGUCUUCGGAUUGUAAAGCACUUUCGACGGGGACGAUGAUGACGGUACCCGUAGAAGAAGCCCCGGCUAACUUCGUGCCAGCAGCCGCGGUAAUACGAAGGGGGCUAGCGUUGCUCGGAAUGACUGGGCGUAAAGGGCGCGUAGGCGGUUUAUGCAGUCAGAUGUGAAAUCCCCGGGCUUAACCUGGGAACUGCAUUUGAGACGCAUAGACUAGAGGUCGAGAGAGGGUUGUGGAAUUCCCAGUGUAGAGGUGAAAUUCGUAGAUAUUGGGAAGAACACCGGUGGCGAAGGCGGCAACCUGGCUCGAUACUGACGCUGGAGUGCGAAAGCAUGGGGAGCGAACGGGAUUAGAUACCCCUGUAGUC